rnacentral:misc_RNA from 1 species
GAUGAAGAACGUAGCGAAAUGCGAUACGUAAUGUGAAUUGCAGAAUUCAGUGAAUCAUCGAAUCUUUGAACGCAUAUUGCGCUCUCUGGUAUUCCGGAGAGCAUGCUUGUUUGAGUAUCAGUAAACACCUCAACUCCCUUUUCUUUUUUGAAAUUGGAGCUGGACUUGAGUGAUCCCAACGCUUUCUUCCAAGAAAGUGGCGGGUUGCUUGAAAUGCAGGUGCAGCUGAACUUUUCUCUGAGCUAUAAGCAUAUCUAUUUAGUCUGCCUAAAAAACAGAUUAUUACCUUUGCUGCAGCUAACAUAAAGGAGACUAGUUCUUGUGCUGACUGAUGCAGGAUUCACAGAGACAGCUUCGGCUGACUUUGUAAACUCGAUCUAAAAUCAAGUAAGACUACCCGCUGAACUUAAGCAUAUCAAUAAGCGGAGGA